UUCUUGCAUUCUACAUGUCCAUCUAAUGCAUCUUGGGGAUGUAGAUCUAUUUAUAAAGCUAAAUCUCUUCUUCUUAAAGGACUUUUCAUACGGGUUGGAAAUGGUCGAUCUAUCAAUCCUUGGACAGAUCCAUGGAUCCCUGGAAUUACUCCAUCGAGUUUCCAUUUCCUCUACCAAGAGACGCCCCUACAUUGGUCAGUGAUUUCAUAGAUGAUGAUUCUCAUAUGUGGUAAGAAAAUUUGAUUCGAUAUUGGUGGCCUCCUGAUGUGGCUGAAGCUAUUAUGUCAAUCCCAUUACCUUUAUUUCCUUCUGAAGAUGAAUGUAAAUGGGCUCCAACAAGUAAUGGAUGUUUUACGAUUUCCUCUGCUUACAGACUUGCUUUAUGGGAUGGUAAUGCCUCUUCUAAUUCAAUUUGGCAGAUCAAGACAGCUCCAAAUGUUUGUUUUCAUCUUUGGAAAUUGAUGCUUGAUAGAAUUCCGCAUGCUGGUCUACUUCAUCGCUGGGGCAUUCAGGUUGGUUUUUCUAUUCAAGAUUGGAUCAGCUAUCUUUUGAGUUUGCCUUUUAAGAAAUCUUUUAAAGAUAAGGAUAGUUUGGUGUCUAGCGUUCUAUGGCAUAUUUGGUUAGCAUAUUUAGAGGCUUCUUUCCAAAAGAUCAUUCCCAAUGCUUCUCACUAGUUAACAGAAUUAUUAUAUAUGCUUAGUCUUAUUUGCAAGUACAGUAGCCGUCAGUUAAAGGGACUUCUAUCAAGCACAUCUCUUGGCAUCCUCCCCCAUUGAAUUACAUCAAGGUUAAUGUAGAUGGUUCAUGUCUCGGUUGUCCGGGACCAGCUGGAAUUGGAGGUGUAUUUCGGGAUUGCAAUGGUCGUAUUUUUUCUUGUUUUUCAGAAUAUAUUGGACAUUCUUACUCUUAUGUGGCGGAGGCUCUUCCUAUUAGGAAAGCCCUUGUUAUUGGUUCUCCAAAGCAGCUUACUCAUCUAAUGAUAAUUUAGGGGUUAUCAAUAUGUUAAAGUCUCAAUCUGAGCACAUUCCUUGGAAGAUAGCUUCAAUUAUUAAAGAUUGCCAUCAUCUUUGCUCUAGCUUUGAAUCAGUGAUGUUUACACACACCAUAAGGCAGGGCAAUGCAAUUGCUGAUCAGUUAGUUUUGA